AUAAACACUACAUAUGCGUACACUGGUCAGGUACUUGGGACGCUCAGCGUAGCAUCUGUCACAUGCUUGUGCCAUCACAGGCUCAUCUACGUAUUCUCAGGCUAAGUAUACGAGUGUGUGUGCACCUUAGACUUCUCUCUUGGACAUACGGGAGAGCUUGCACCUGGUUGCUUUUUUAUUCUCCUCUAGCUUCUUAUGAAUAGAACAUUUGAUAUGCACAUACACGUGAGAAUUUUUGUAAAAAUUUUCAUUAAACAUCCUGAACCCCAAGUGUAGAUUCCACAACCAAGGAAUUUGAUCGACGAAGGUGGACACACAGGUGCCACGAUCCGCCAUUUGUUUUGAUAAGCCUGGAUACCAUAUCUACAGAUGUCACUAGGUGAUGUGGUCUACACCUAACGAGGCUUCCUAGUACCAACCAGCUCUACGACGAAACGAAACGAGAAAAAUGAAUGUGGUGGCUGAAGUUGUCUGUCUCCUUCUGAGGUUGGGUAGCACGAGGGUGUGCUGUAGCAGAGGUUGCAAGCUGUGGAGAUCUGUACUGGGGUGCAUGGUUAUAUGGAGUGGUAUAGUAGGUCUGUGAGUCCAUACAGGUUUUCUGGAAGCCACAUGGUCAUGAGGUCUGGAUGCUGAUAGCAUUCCUAAUACCUCCCAGCCCUAUACAACAAACACAGAAAUAUGGUUGACGACAGAUUUGGUCAUUGUGCAUGGGUUGGGUGAUAUGCAUUGCAUUGCCUCCACAGAUGCAUACGACGAUACUAUAUAUAAGUGAAUGAAUGCUUUCACCCAUGGUACAUGGCCAAAUCAAUGUGUCAACUAAUAAGCUUUCAAAACUAUUGCUUGCCAUAAAUAAAACAACCAAAAAGGAAGACCACGCAACUCAAAUCAGUUAAUCUAUACUCCUUGUAUUCUAUAACACUUCUCCAUACAUAGAAGUGGUGUUUAGGUACUAGUUGUAUUUUUGUUCAUACUAUGAUAAAAAUUAGUUGAUGCUCGAAAUGUUCAUUUAUGGUUGGUACCACGUGCACUGUUCCUAGAGGAUCCUUACAAGUUUCCUGUAGUCCUUCUCGUCCCGUAGCUGGAUGUCAGUGUCACUUUACAAGCCACAACACAGUACCUUCAGGGAACGCAACACUCGUCCACAACGAAGUGCGAACACCGAGCCACCGCCUUGAAGCUAUCUGAUGCAUCCACAGUCCCAUGGUCAUGAUAGCAGGGUCUGGGGGCGGAUGCAUGGAGUAGGGGUGUGGGGGUGAAUGUGGACUGGAAGAUAAGAUGCAAGCUUCCUUGGAGUUGUGGAGAUUUAGGUUUAGGAUUUUUAUUUAUUUUCUAAAUAUGUCUGCUGUAGAGAAGGCGCCAACAUGAAAGCUAGAGUGCUAACGCCAAAUUUUUCUCUGUGCAAGUCCAUGUCCAAAACAGGGCCAAAGCCAAAUCCUUGUGCCGAUUUAUUUUUCUGUGUGUAUAUAGUUUUAAUGUGUGUGUAAUGGAACAAGUCUACAUAGCCCCCCCCCCCCCCAAACUAUCUAGAGUGGACUACUUCAUGCCCCGAACUAUAAAACCAAAACCAGUCAAAUAACCUCUCGAGUGGUUUUAGAGGGUGGUUUUGUUUUUUCUUUUUUAUUUAUUUCGGCU
rnacentral:lncRNA from 1 species